GCAUCGGCAGCACCGAACCGAAGCUGGUCCAUCACAGCGACAGGUCGCGCGCCCAUCGCCAUGAUGUCACGUACGAUGCCGCC
rnacentral:tRNA from 1 species